GAUGAACGCUGGCGGCGUGCCUAAUACAUGCAAGUCGAGCGAACGGACGAGAAGCUUGCUUCUCUGAUGUUAGCGGCGGACGGGUGAGUAACACGUGGAUAACCUACCUAUAAGACUGGGAUAACUUCGGGAAACCGGAGCUAAUACCGGAUAAUAUUUUGAACCGCAUGGUUCAAAAGUGAAAGACGGUCUUGCUGUCACUUAUAGAUGGAUCCGCGCUGCAUUAGCUAGUUGGUAAGGUAACGGCUUACCAAGGCAACGAUGCAUAGCCGACCUGAGAGGGUGAUCGGCCACACUGGAACUGAGACACGGUCCAGACUCCUACGGGAGGCAGCAGUAGGGAAUCUUCCGCAAUGGGCGAAAGCCUGACGGAGCAACGCCGCGUGAGUGAUGAAGGUCUUCGGAUCGUAAAACUCUGUUAUUAGGGAAGAACAUAUGUGUAAGUAACUGUGCACAUCUUGACGGUACCUAAUCAGAAAGCCACGGCUAACUACGUGCCAGCAGCCGCGGUAAUACGUAGGUGGCAAGCGUUAUCCGGAAUUAUUGGGCGUAAAGCGCGCGUAGGCGGUUUUUUAAGUCUGAUGUGAAAGCCCACGGCUCAACCGUGGAGGGUCAUUGGAAACUGGAAAACUUGAGUGCAGAAGAGGAAAGUGGAAUUCCAUGUGUAGCGGUGAAAUGCGCAGAGAUAUGGAGGAACACCAGUGGCGAAGGCGACUUUCUGGUCUGUAACUGACGCUGAUGUGCGAAAGCGUGGGGAUCAAACAGGAUUAGAUACCCUGGUAGUCCACGCCGUAAACGAUGAGUGCUAAGUGUUAGGGGGUUUCCGCCCCUUAGUGCUGCAGCUAACGCAUUAAGCACUCCGCCUGGGGAGUACGACCGCAAGGUUGAAACUCAAAGGAAUUGACGGUGACCCGCACAAGCGGUGGAGCAUGUGGUUUAAUUCGAAGCAACGCGAAGAACCUUACCAAAUCUUGACAUCCUCUGACCCCUCUAGAGAUAGAGUUUUCCCCUUCGGGGGACAGAGUGACAGGUGGUGCAUGGUUGUCGUCAGCUCGUGUCGUGAGAUGUUGGGUUAAGUCCCGCAACGAGCGCAACCCUUAAGCUUAGUUGCCAUCAUUAAGUUGGGCACUCUAAGUUGACUGCCGGUGACAAACCGGAGGAAGGUGGGGAUGACGUCAAAUCAUCAUGCCCCUUAUGAUUUGGGCUACACACGUGCUACAAUGGACAAUACAAAGGGUAGCGAAACCGCGAGGUCAAGCAAAUCCCAUAAAGUUGUUCUCAGUUCGGAUUGUAGUCUGCAACUCGACUACAUGAAGCUGGAAUCGCUAGUAAUCGUAGAUCAGCAUGCUACGGUGAAUACGUUCCCGGGUCU
rnacentral:rRNA from 1 species